rnacentral:rRNA from 1 species
AGUGAACGCUGGCGGUAGGCCUAACACAUGCAAGUCGAACGGCAGCACAGUAAGAGCUUGCUCUUACGGGUGGCGAGUGGCGGACGGGUGAGGAAUACAUCGGAAUCUACUUUUUCGUGGGGGAUAACGUAGGGAAACUUACGCUAAUACCGCAUACGACCUACGGGUGAAAGCAUGGGAUCUUCGGACCUUGCGCGAUUGAAUGAGCCGAUGUCGGAUUAGCUAGUUGGCGGGGUAAAGGCCCACCAAGGCGACGAUCCGUAGCUGGUCUGAGAGGAUGAUCAGCCACAUUGGAACUGAGACACGGUCCAGACUCCUACGGGAGGCAGCAGUGGGGAAUAUUGGACAAUGGGCGCAAGCCUGAUCCAGCCAUACCGCGUGGGUGAAGAAGGCCUUCGGGUUGUAAAGCCCUUUUGUUGGGAAAGAAAAGCAGCAGGUUAAUACCCCGCUGUUCUGACGGUACCCAAAGAAUAAGCACCGGCUAACUUCGUG